rnacentral:snoRNA from 1 species
CCGCCGAUGAUGACGUGACCACUGCGCAAUCUGAGUUCUGGGAACCAGGUGAUGGAGUGUGCUGCGAGCACUGAAGCCA